rnacentral:tRNA from 1 species
GGUGAUGUAGCAGAGUGGUGUGCUCCUGUGUUGUGAUACAGGGGAUCGAGGGUUCGAAACCCACCCCAACCU